rnacentral:misc_RNA from 1 species
GAAAUGCGAUAAGUAAUGUGAAUUGCAGAAUUCAGUGAAUCAUCGAAUCUUUGAACGCACCUUGCGCUCCUUGGUAUUCCUUGGAGCAUGCCUGUUUGAGUAUCAUGAAAUCUUCAAAGUAAAUCUUUUGUUAACUCAAUUGGUUUCUACUUUGGUAUUGGAGGUCUUUGCAGCUUCACACCUGCUCCUCUUUGUUCAUUAGCUGGAUCUCAGUGUUAUGCUUGGUUCCGCUCGGCGUGAUAAGUUAUCUAUCGCUGAGGACACUGUAAAAGGUGGCCAAGGUAAAUGCAGAUGAACCGCUUCUAAUAGUCCAUUGACUUGGACAAUACUUUUAUGAUCUGAUCUCAAAUCAGGUAGGACUACCCGCUGAACUUAAGC